GACGAACGCUGGCGGCGUGCCUAAUACAUGCAAGUCGAGCGAAGUUUUUCUGGUGCUUGCACUAGAAAAACUUAGCGGCGAACGGGUGAGUAACACGUAAAGAACCUGCCUCAUAGACUGGGACAACUAUUGGAAACGAUAGCUAAUACCGGAUAACAGUAUUUCUCGCAUGAGAGAUAUUUAAAAGUUGGUUAUGCUAACACUAUGAGAUGGCUUUGCGGUGCAUUAGCUAGUUGGUGGGGUAAAGGCCCACCAAGGCGACUAUGCAUAGCCGACCUGAGAGGGUGAUCGGCCACACUGGGACUGAGACACGGUCCAGACUCCUACGGGAGGCAGCAGUAGGGAAUCUUCCGCAAUGGGCGAAAGCCUGACGGAGCAACGCCGCGUGAGUGAAGAAGGAUUUCGGUUCGUAAAGCUCUGUUGUUAGGGAAGAAUGGAUAUGUAGUAACUAUACAUGUAAGAGACGGUACCUAACCAGAAAGCCACGGCUAACUACGUG
rnacentral:rRNA from 1 species